CGACGUCGAAGUUAGACCGACCGUACGGGACGGUACGGACCGACGAACGGUUAGUAAACGUACAAAGGAAGUUAGACGGGGACCCGGACGACAAGACGGUGGAGUGAUGUGGUUUAAUUACGUAUGCAACGACGAAAAACCUUAACCCAACCUUUACGUACAUGUACGGAAUACCUUUAGAGAUAGAGGAGUGCUCGAAAGGGAACCGUAACACAGGUGCUGCAUGGCUGUCGUCAGCUCGUG
rnacentral:rRNA from 1 species